rnacentral:rRNA from 1 species
GUUUAAUCGCUGUGUCGUAAUGACACAGUGAGGUGUAACGUAUGGUGCGCCACGUGCAGUGAAUGCGUCGACUUAAGUUCUCCUUGACUGGAGCCCCAUAGAAGGUGAAAGGCCUGUAAAGUCGAGUUGUGCUCAUUGUUUGUGACGUACUGUGAGUCGCGUUGUUUGGAAACACAGCGCAAAGCAGGUGGUAAACUCCAUCUAAAGCUAAAUAUGACCAUGAAACCGAUAGCAAACAAGUACCGUGAGGGAAAGUUUAAAAGAACUCUGAAGAGAGAGUUAAAUAGUACGUGAAACCGGUUAGGUGGAAGCAUAUAGAGUUAUCAUAAGAUGGUAACAAUAGGUUGGUUAUGAUGUGCAAAAAGUUGUGCAAGUUUUGCCGUUCAUCGGUGAUCUUGCAUGAUUUUUUUGGUUGCAUUUUGGCCAAUUGAUUUGUUAUCCUUGCGCUGAAAUUAUUGAGUAUGCAUUGUUGCCUGUGUAAAUUAGAUGCCUUUGCCUUUGGGUNAAAGUUACUUGAUUUACUUGUGCUGACAUUGUUAUGCUUAAUAAUUAUUUUUGGAUUAAAAAGCGAAUUGUGCUUUUAACUGACUGUGAAUUGGUGGUAUUGCAUGCAAUAUGCCAUUUGCUAGUUUGUUUAAUUGUACUUUUCAAUGUUUAAUCCUUUCAGUGUACUCGAUGACCACCUAUAUGUCCCGUCUUGAAACACGGACCAAGGAGUUUAUCGUAUAUGCGAGUCAUUGUCUGUAAAAAAGAUAUUGGCGUAAUGAAAGUGAUUUCAUUUUCAUGUGAUCCGGUGUUCAAAAACCGGCGCAACAUGAUCCCAUAUUAAUGGCUUGCCAUGGUGUGGAGAUUGAGCAUAUGCGAUGAGACCCGAAAGAUGGUGAACUAUGCCUGGGCAGGAUGAAGCCGGAGGAAACUCUGGUGGAAGUCCGAAGCGGUUCUGACGUGCAAAU